UCUCCCUCAUUCCUUGGCUAUCCUUCUUCCAAGGUUGGCAACCUCCCACUUCCCCUUAAAUGCAUGGUCACCCUUCUUCCAUAGGAGCUAACUGCCCAUGUCUCCCAUGAUCUUCAACUCCCCCUCUCUGAUGUAACCUCCUCCUUGAGCAUUAUAAAAAGAGACAGCCUUCAGAGAAGAGGGGAGAUCUGAAAAAUAAUCCUUCUUAGUACCCUUACUCACUCUCCAUUUCAUUAGCCCACUGAAAUCCAAGCUAUAUCAAUCUCGAAACACAAUUACAUUCAGUUUAUAAUCCUCUAUUCAAUCUCAUAUUAACGUUCUAACUUGAGCGUCGGAGGGGUUUUCCGGGAGAUCACCCCCCGGACAAGGCUAACGUGUUGUUUUGCAGGAAUUCAAGUCGCUUCCUCCCACGAGUCGCUCCUCUUGAUCACACUUCUACCUAUCUCCAGGGACAAUAAUGGCAUUCAAUUAUCAAUCAAUCAUUCUCUUAAUACUUAUGCCAAGCCAAAAUAAUGCAAGUACUAUACAACAAAGGUCAUUUCUAAGGAUUUGUUUGUGGAUCUUUCUCGAACUGAGGGACUCUUUGGCCGCACUCUUCUUUAUAGGUAUGAGUUGCCGCCUUCCUUAUCUCCCCAGACCUUAAUCAUUGUUCCUAUGUGCUAUACUUAGGAACGAUGAUUUCAGUUGGAACAAAACUUUUGUUGAGGCAUGGUUCGAUCCCUACUGCGCAGGUAUUAACUAGGGGGAUCUUGACUGCGCGUAUCCUCUUUAAUCCUUUCUUGAGGGGAAUAGGUAUGGUUUGUUCAAAUUUUUCAAGGAAAAAAACCCCAUCUAAAUCCUUCCUUGUGCGGAAUAUUGGAAUUGUCCUUUAUCUUUAUCUUUACCUUCAUUCAAUAGAGCCAGACCUAAAAAGGUAAGGUUAGAAACUACAAAAGGUCUCCAAGAAUAUGAUUCUUGAAAGAAGAUAACAAAAGAAAAGUUGAAAGAGGUCCUUGGGAAAAUGGAAAAAGCUAAGAAGAUAUCAAAAAUUAGAAUUUAAAUUUAAACUAAUUCCAUCAUUACUUUAAAGUAAUUAAAUUUGAGAAUGAAUUCUUAAAUUUUGUCAUUCGCAAAUUUUUUAUUUUUAUAUCACUUAUUCUCAAACACAAUCUUAUGUAAUUGGAAAUUAGAAGUUACAGCUCGUCUUGUAAAGACCGUUUCACCAUGAGACGAACUCAUAUAAUUAGCCUAAUUCUUUAAUAGAUCACUUGAAUUUUAUAAACGAUCACUCUAAGGUUAUAAAUGAUCACUUUAAAUUAGGAAAAAUUAUCAGAAAAAUACUAUAUUUUGCUUAUUUCCCUACAAUAAAACUAACUUUUAAUUAACCAUGAAUAAUACGAACUUGGGGGUAUUUCCCUAGAAUAUCACUAACAUGUUAAAAAAUCAAAUUAUAGGAGAUUAUAUGACAAAAAAAUUGAUAAUUAGUUAAUAAACUAAAGUUGGAAUUAUUAAAAACCCCUCAAAGUUGAUGUUAUUCAUGAUUAAUUAAUUUAAAAUUAUAAGCAAUCAAUUUAAGAUUAUAAAUAAUCACUUUAAUACAUUAAAAAUACAUUAAAUCAAUUUAAUAAAAAUAAUAUCAUCAUACAACCACUUCAUAAUUUGUGUUGAAGCUAUAAAAGAAUGUACCUAAGUUUAGACAGGCCCGACCCUGGGGAGUAGGCGAGGAGUGCCGCCGUCCAAAGCCAACAUAUAAAGGGGCCCUAUUUCGGAUACCGGAAUAAGGGAGUUGCUGAAUAGCGGUGGUCGACUGUAUUCUGUGAUGAUGAAGGGAAGAUGCAGGAGGUUGAAGAAAGCAAAUUUGUUUUUCAUAAUUUUACAUUUGAAAAGUCAAUCCUUAUGAACUUCUAAAAAUUACACUCAUUAUGCAAGAGUAAUACACAUUAAAAGUUGAAAAAAGUAUUGGCUGAUCGGGCCCCAAUUCUAUACGGCACUUCAAUUUAUAUUUCAUUCUUCUAUAUCUGCACUUCAAUAAGAAAUAUUUAAACAAACUCAUAUAAAAUAAUUUUACUAUCAAUCAAUUAAUCGAAUCUUAAUUUAUAUUUUAUUCUUAAUUUACAAGUUAAAAUAUAUUUAAGUAAAAUUUUAUUUAUUUCGUCUCUGUGCAAAUAAUUAAUAUCAAUUUUAUUUUAUGACGGUGCAUAAAUAGUAUGCAAAAAUGAGAAGGGUGAAGAUAUAUUGCAAUAAUUUGAUAAAAAUAAAAACCUUCUUUUUCUUAUCAAUGACUAAACUGUAUUAGCUAAGUAAAACAAACCCAUGUAGUCAUUAAUUGAAAAAAAUUGAAAAGUAUAUCGAUGUUUGCUACAUUUAGUUAUCACCAAUAUAAAUAACAAAUUAUACAAU